AUCCAAUCAGAAUUUUGCUGCAAUCAAAUUAAGCCUGUUAUAUAUAAUUGGCUGUUGUUUGAAACAUUAAGAGCAAAUCAAACAAACAGUUCUUUUAGGAAUGAACUUAUACAACAAAGAUGGACAAACAAAGAUAAUACAGCUCACAACAAGCAUAAUAAUUGGCACAAAAGGUGCAUCAGAAAUCGGCAAGAUUGUAUUGUACAAAACCUUAACAUGCACGUUCUACCGGCAUAUACAAUCAUGAUUAAACAAUGGGUAUUUGCAGACUACAAUACUACAAGUGAAUUUAACUUGCGUAUAUCAAGAUUUCCUAGGAACAAAACUUCCAUCAAAGAACUUCAGGGGUGAUAUUGCUCAAACUCUGACUUCACACGAAGCUCAAUACAACCCAUAGAAUCAAGGUAGCAAAAUUAAGCGAAAAAAGUUUAGGUGACAUUAUUUUAUUUUGAGCAUUGUACAUGACAAAUUACAAGUGAAUUAGUGAUAUUGCUUGCAGACCCUGUAACAUGUAAAUAAUAGCAGGUUUUCCUCUCUAUACAAUGAUCAUCGAACCCAAACCUGCAAAUGUGAUUGAACCAUGAU
rnacentral:misc_RNA from 1 species